UACGGAGGAUGCGAGCGUUAUCCGGAUUUAUUGGGUUUAAAGGGUGCGUAGGCGGGCUGUUAAGUCAGCGGUCAAAUACGGGGGCUCAACCUGCGUCCGCCGUUGAAACUGGCGUUCUUGAGUGGGCGAGAAGUACGCGGAAUGCGUGGUGUAGCGGUGAAAUGCAUAGAUAUCACGCAGAACGCCGAUUGCGAAGGCAGCUUACCGGCGCUCAACUGACGCUGAGGCACGAAAGUGCGGGUAUCGAACAGG
rnacentral:rRNA from 1 species